GGAGAGAUGUCUGAGAGGCUGAAGGAGCACGACUGGAAAUCGUGUGUACGCCCCCAAAGGUGUACCGCGGGUUCGAAUCCCGCUCUCUCCGCCA
rnacentral:tRNA from 1 species